GGCGAAUCAGAACAGAAGCAAAAGCGGAAUCGAACGAACCGAACCUCGACUUGAGUGUUUGCGCUGGAGGAGCUCAAAGAAAACGAACGUCGAGAAUCGUAAGGCUUUAAUAAUUUGGUUUCAAAAAUUAAUUUUACAAAAUUAAGACAUUGCGGUGAUCUUUUAAAAUCGUGUAAAUCACUUGAACGGUUUAAAUUCAACAGACUAGUGCAUUUAGAAGUUUCUAAAGGCUAUAAUUGCUAAUAGAAAAUGCAAAUAUAUUCUGAUUCUAUUCAGUGUUAAUUUGUGCAAAACUGUGACUGCAUCCUUCAAAAAUAAAAGGCAAUCCACAAGAAAAUCUGUCGUUCCGCGCAAAAUAUUCCGUAUCUUAAGAUAAAUACGUUGCUGACGACAACGACGGGAAAAACGACAAAAAUUGUUAAAUUUAAUGUGUUUACUUGUGUGUGUGUGGUGAAAAUCUCAAGUUUAUGAAAAAAAUUUGAAUAGAAAACAAAAAAAUAUAAAAAAUCAUAUUUUUUUUUACACCUUUCGGUUGAAGAACGGGUUGAGUUUUGAGAGCAGAACAGAAGCGAAAGAAUAGCAAAAAUAAGAUAGAAAAGAAGACUACACGGCAGCCAGCGCACGCACUUGACAGGAGAAAAAGGUGUGAAAGAGAAAGCAGACACGGAUAAAAUACGCAACAAAACGAUAUUAAAUUUACGGGCAUUUCCAUUUCAUAAAACAUAAAAAAUAGUAUUAGCAUCAUACUAUAGAAAAUUCAUAAACAAUUUUUAAUCG